CAGUCGCCGCGGGAAUACGUAGGUGGCAAGCGUUGUCCGGAAUUAUUGGGCGUAAAGCGCGCGCAGGUGGUUUAAUAAGUCUGAUGUGAAAGCCCACUGCUCAACCGUGGAGGGUCAUUGGAAACUGUUAAACUUGAGUGCAGGAGAGAAAAGUGGAAUUCCUAGUGUAGCGGUGAAAUGCGUAGAGAUUAGGAGGAACACAGUGGCGAAGGCGGCUUUUUGGCCUGUAACUGACACUGAGGCGCGAAAGCGUGGGGAGCAAACAGGAUUAGAUACCCGAGUAGUCCCUGUCUCUUAUACA
rnacentral:rRNA from 1 species